CUACGGGGGGCUCCAGUCGAGAAUCUUCCGCAAUGGACGAAAGUCUGACGGAGCGACGCCGCGUGCGGGAUGAAGGCCUUCGGGUUGUAAACCGCUGUCAGUGGGGAGGAAAUGCAUCAGGGUUCUCCCUGGUGUUUGACCGAUCCGCAGAGGAAGCGCAGGCUAAGUUCGUGCCAGCAGCCGCGGUAACACGAACUGCGCGAACGUUAUUCGGAAUCACUGGGCUUAAAGAGUUCGUAGGCGGCCUUUCAAGUCGGGUGUGAAAUCCCUCGGCUCAACCGAGGAAUUGCGCCUGAUACUGUUGGGCUUGAGGGGGAUAGGGGUGAGCGGAACUGAUGGUGGAGCGGUGAAAUGCGUUGAUAUCAUCAGGAACACCGGUGGCGAAGGCGGCUCACUGGAUCUCUUCUGACGCUGAGGAACGAAAGCUAGGGGAGCGAACGGGAUUAGAUACCCUCGUAGUC
rnacentral:rRNA from 1 species